GAUAGUGCGCAAUGGAGGGGACUCUGACGCAGCGACGCCGCGUGAGCGAUGAAGGUUUUCGUAUCGUCAAGCUCCGUUCUUGGGGAUGAAGGUCUUCGGACUUGUCGGUACCUAAGGAGGACGCCCCGGUUAACUACGGGCCAGCCGCCGCGGUAAUUCGUAGGGGGCAAGCGUUGCCCGGAGUUAUUGGGCGUAAAGGGUGCUUAGGCGGCCUUUUAAGUCAGGUGUGAAAGCCCACGGCUUAACCGUGGGAUUGCAUGUGAGACUGGAAGGCUUGAGUAUCGGAGAGGGUAGUGGAAUUCCCAGUGUAGCGGUGGAAUGCGUAGAUAUUGGGAGGAACACCAGUGGCGAAGGCGACUACCUGGACGAAAACUGACGCUGAGGCACGAAAGCUAGGGGAGCAAAC
rnacentral:rRNA from 1 species